rnacentral:rRNA from 1 species
UACGGGGGGGGCAAGCGUUGUUCGGGAUUACUGGGCGUAAAGGGCUCGUAGGCGGCCAACUAAGUCAGACGUGAAAUCCCUCGGCUUAACCGGGGAACUGCGUCUGAUACUGGAUGGCUUGAGGUUGGGAGAGGGAUGCGGAAUUCCAGGUGUAGCGGUGAAAUGCGUAGAUAUCUGGAGGAACACCGGUGGCGAAGGCGGCAUCCUGGACCAAUUCUGACGCUGAGGAGCGAAAGCCAGGGGAGCAAACGGG